UGUGUGUGUGUGUGUGUGUGUGUGCUCAGUGACAGUGGGGAGUAUCACUGCGUGGCCACUCCCUGGUACCUCUCCGCCUCCACAGGGUCCUGGACUCAAGCCGGAGAGCUGACCUCGUCCCGAAUCUUCAUCACAGUCAAAUUCGCUGUGUGGGAAUCCCUACAGUUACCUCUCUUAUAUGGAGUAUCCGCCUCAAUAGGUGUGGGCCUCUUCUCUCUGGUCUUCGGACUGGUUUGCGCCCACUGCUGCUGCCGUAACACCAUGCACACUCCUCGCUCACGCAACAAGCUGAUGGACCUGGAGAUGGACUGACACACAGUUUCCCCCGCACCCACACACUGCAGCGCUCACAGGAAAACACCCGUCACACACACCAGACACACGCCCAAAGACGAUUUCUGGGACACCAAGUUGUUUCCAAGCGACGGACGUUGGGAGUAAAAAAAAGCUGACUUUAGGAGGUGUUUCUUCAGCUCUGCAGUGGAGGAGCAGGGGGAUUUUUUUUACAAACAGCAAUGGAACUUCGAUUUCUGUGAAGAUCCGUUUAAAUCUGUGGCGCUUCCAGUGAUUUUUUUUCACCGAGAUAUUUGCUCCCUGUUAAGACCAUAGCACUACAAGAAACUUUUUUUGAGGUAACACUGCCACUUGGGAAUAAAGGACCACUAAACCUGCCUCUAGGGAUAACAAAUGAAGCGCACAUGCUGGACUAUUUCUUCUUCUUCCAAUGCCAAGAACAACCUGUCUUUGUUCCCUGUUGAAGUUUCUGUUUUGGAGGAAGCACAGACAUUUUCUCUUUGGGCUCAUGGAAGUUGUUUCCUUGUUUAGUCACAAAGUUAUUUUGUAUUUGCAGAGACUGGUGGUUUAUGCAGCCUGAGCCUUAUUGCUGUCACGGAGUAAACGCCAACAUGUCUCCCACAUGAGAGGUAUUGCACUACAGCCACCACCCCAGAGUAUUCCUACCUUAACAAAAAAGGAUAAGAUUUACUUUUAUUCUCUACUCUAGUUUUUUGAAAAUUACGAGAUUUUAAAAAGACAUUUUUAAGCUUUACGAGGAGAUAUGCAGUUAGUGUGUUUGUGUGUGAGAUAUACUGUACGUGGUGCCAAUAUUUGAAAUUAUCGGAGGUGCGCUCGCCGGGUCAACACUUGAACUGCCGCUCACAGUGGCGACAGCAAGCACUCUUCUUUUAUAGAUAUUCAGAAAUGUAUCCUGCUGUUUUUAUCAGAGUCUCGUGUGUGUUUGUGCGAGUGCCGUGAGACAAAGAGUCGCAUGUACUGUUUUAUAACGACAGAGUGGUGUCAACACAAGCCUUUUCCUGGGUUACAUGUUAGUGACAUGAAAGUCUGCAGAUCUCUCAACCUAGCCGUCACUUAUCUGGACUCAUGUCUUCCAGCUGUGAGCAACAUGAGUAUAUUACUUCCUUUUUUUACACAGGAAAACCAUGCAUGUUCCUAAGUGUCACUUCUGCUCUUUAAAGGAAUAGUUAAACAUUUUGGAGAAGCUGUUUAUUUGCUUCAAUACGAAGAUCAAUGUCAUGCCUGUGCAUACAGAGUGAGACUCCAGGUGUGGUUAGCAUAAAGACAGAGAGCGGGUGGAAACAGCUAGCCUAGCUAUGUCAAAGCUUAUAAAAAUGCAGCUAUAAAUAUGUCUUGGCCUGGAUAAUGGUUAAACUGUCAAUCAAGGACAAAUGUUUUGGCAUGUUAGAAAGAUACAAUGUGUUAACUAGGUUGGUAUUGAAAUACUGCGUCCAGUCUUUAUGCUAACUAGACUAACAAUAAGAGCAGAUAAGCUCAUUUCCCAAAAUGUUCCAGUAUUUUAUAAACAUCACAUGACUUGAAUGAGUUCAAAGGGCAGUUAACAUUUUAAUACAUCCCCUGUUUUCAUUUUAGUUAAGCUAGGCUACCAGUCCCCAACUAUUUCAAGCCUUAGAGCUCAACAAAUUGCUAACUAUCUCGAAACAUUUCCAGAAAAUGAUCUGAGAGGUUUCGUCUCUUUGAUUGUAAAGUUUUUCCUUUGCACUUAGCAGCCAAAACAAAAGCAUCUGAUCAGCUGUUCCCAACAUCAAUGAGCAUCUGUUGAGUCUCUGAGGUGUUUUUACAGCAAACGGAUGAAUUGUUGUAUCAUGUUGACUGCUGUGUGAACACACACUCACAGAUCCAGCGACAACACACACACAAAGUGUCCAACACCCAGCGGGGUCCAAACGGCCUAAGUAACAAGAUGAGCCAGGCUGUCCCUCAUCACUGAGCUCUGUUUGGUGUUUUUAAAUAGUUUAAAAGGUAUUUUAAGCAACUGAAUGAGCAAUAUCAGGCUGUAGUCAGGUCACAGCUCGUAUUAAGAUGUACUCUUCAUAACAUAUUCUACCCUAAGUCAAAGUUUAUUACGAGGGUGUUUUCUGAUUGGACGUUACAUAUUCCAACCAUCGCUCUGAAAUUGGCUGAAUGCAGAAUUGUAUCCAAUCAGGACAAGAUGCCCAAAUCCAUAAAUAUCUCCCCUUAUGAUACUCAAAAGUGUUAUUCAUAGCAUAGCAUCCUACAAUUAAAGUGAUAGCAAUAUGUUCUUCAGUUAGGGACAACAAGGGGUCAAGCUGAGACCCUUUUGAGAGGUCUUGAUUGAUGACAACAGUUACUUCAGAAACUUCCAAUAACAUAAACAGAUCUAUGUGUGUGUGUGCCUCUCUGUUGCAGUGUUCAAAUUGGUUUUAACAUUAUAAUUAACACACACACAUUUACAUUUACACAGGUGAAUAACACACACACACGCACACAGGUAGCAUCGAUACACACCGCUGAACAUGCCACUGCAAGGUUUCCCCAGUGUCCUUUCAUUUUCUCAUUUGACUGCAAUGAGUAUGAUGAAUCAUGUUUUUUAUUUUAAAUAAAUAGAUUUGUAAGAUGUA